UACGUAGGGCGCAAGCGUUAUCCGGAAUUAUUGGGCGUAAAGAGCUCGUAGGCGGUUUGUCGCGUCUGCCGUGAAAGUCCGGGGCUCAACUCCGGAUCUGCGGUGGGUACGGGCAGACUAGAGUGAUGUAGGGGGAGACUGGAAUUCCUGGUGUAGCGGUGGAAUGCGCAGAUAUCAGGAGGAACACCGGUGGCGAAGGCGGGUCUCUGGGCAGUAACUGACGCUGAGGAGCGAAAGCGUGGGGAGCGAACAGG
rnacentral:rRNA from 1 species